rnacentral:tRNA from 1 species
GAACGUAUGGCUUAGUUGGUUGGACGGAGAGCGCUUGGACGGUUUCUAAGAGGCGCGGGUUCAAAUUCCGCUACGUUAA